rnacentral:misc_RNA from 1 species
UCUAAAGGGUAUUAGCAUGGGAAUUUAUUCAGAACCUGGAUGAGAGAAUUGAUUGGCCAUGAACAAUUAGAUUUGAUGAUGAUGGAGUUUAUCACUACUUUUUUUUUCCAUAUCCCAGUUCUUCGUGUGCUUCUUUCAUAAUUAUUAUCAUGCAUAUUUGUAUUUUUAUCUCUAUAUGUUCAGGUACUUUGCUUCUCUUCUGCUUUAUGCUUGGGAGU